rnacentral:lncRNA from 1 species
ACAAUAAUACUUCUCAAUGUUUCUUCUUAUGAUUGUCCGACAACAUCAAUCUGUAAACACAUUAAAUUCAAAAUAAAAAAUUUCUUCACACAGUAAAACCACAAAACACAAUAGACCACCAUUUAAUUCUGUUCGUAUAAAAUCUACCCUUACAACUAAAUGUACUUCUCUAUUUUUAGAUGACAUACAGCUUGCAUGGGAAGCAGACAGGGCAGAAGACAUUUCAAAUCUUUGUUCAUUACUUAUACCGUAUAGCGGUUUAUUUUUCGCGGUUAGAACAAAAUCCCAAAAACAAAUUCCACCAAGUGUACAUGCAAAGGUAUUGAUAAAAGUUUUGAAUUCAUCAAAAUAAUAACCGCCAAAAUAUAUUGUAUACCUUAUUCAAUGAAAAUCCCAAAAUUUUAAACCCCAGAAAAUAACCCGCUGUACAGUAUUCUCACAUUCUACGAUUUUUUCGUCACAAAUUAUAAUCUUACGAGAAAAACUGAUCAUUAGUCAUAAAUAUUCCAGUUAAUUUACAAUCAAUUUCAAUUUUAAUUGUAAGAUUUUUUGUGAAAAGAAUUGCUGAUUUUUAAUUAUGCAAACUGAACUUUUAACUGAUCAAAGGACAAUGCAUUGAUAUCAGUGAUUUACACUAACCUUUGGCAAUAUUAUCACAGUAAAAAAAGUAAACAAUAACUAUUUAAAUAAAAAGAUAAUAUUGUUAAAAUAU